CACGUAGGGGGCAAGCGUUGUCCGGAAUUAUUGGGCGUAAAGGGCGCGUAGGCGGCUUUGCAAGUGACGGGUGAAAUCCCUCGGCUUAACCGAGGAACUGCCUGUCAAACUGCAUGGCUUGAGACCGGGAGAGGUGAGUGGAAUUCCCAGUGUAGCGGUGAAAUGCGUAGAUAUUGGGAGGAACACCAGUGGCGAAGGCGGCUCACUGGACCGGUACUGACGCUGAUGCGCGAAAGCGUGGGGAGCAAACAGG
rnacentral:rRNA from 1 species